rfam:Ictidomys tridecemlineatus contig092154, whole genome shotgun sequence.
UGAGUGUAGCUCAGUGGUAGAGCACUUGCCUAGAAAGCACAUGGCCAUGGGUUCAAUCCCCAGCACUGCAA